rnacentral:lncRNA from 1 species
CAGACAAACUUAAGAAAGACUUCCACCCUUGCUUAAUUAGUUUUUCUCCAAUAGAAAAACCAUCAUACCUCAAAAAUUUGAAGUCUACAUUUCUACCUAAAGCAACCUUCCUUGUAGAUAAGAGAAUCUUACUUGGAGUGAUCGGUGGAGAUGCUUGGGUCGGCUCAUGUGCUGCCUUCUUCCUCCUUUCCUCUACCUCCAAGGAUCUAACCAACUUCUUUCUUUGUGGCAUUCUCAUUUUGGGGCCAUGUCCUAAGGAGAGGAUGGAUAAUGGUCAAGAAAGUGGAGAAAGAUGUGAAUUAAAGUGAAACUAAGAGAAGAAGAUGAUUUUGGAGAGU